UUGUUUUUUAAAAUUUAUUGUAUUUAUAUAAUUUCAAUUUAAGUAACACAUAAAAAAAGAUAAAAAUGAAACAUCAAUUAUUUUCAUCGAAAGAAGAUUCAUACACUUACGAUAGUAUAUAGUUAAAUCGCUACUAAUAGAGAAUGAACUCCAACUCAUAUCAAUUCAUACAAAACAACAUAAUGUGGAAAGUUACAUUGGUCCAAAAAGUACAUAUCUAUAUAAUAUUUCAAUGGCUGGCUUCAUUCUAAUGUGGUGCGUUAUUGCCUCUAUGGCUUGGUCCUGAAGGUGGUACUUUACUCUUUGCAAGGAGAAAAAAGGAAGCUUUACCUGAAUCCACCAUUAAUGUUCUACAAGCUUCUCUUUUAAUAUUUUCUAUACCCUGAAACUUUGAUCUAGUUGCAAAAAUCCCAUGACACAUUAACAUUAGUAAGAUUAUGAGACAAGAAAGAGAUGAAGUUUUGGAAACCAUAAUGUAUAG
rnacentral:lncRNA from 1 species